GGCCUUAUCGUCUAACGGCUUAGGACGCCAGGUUCUCAUCCUGGCAAUCUGGGUUCGAUUCCCAGUGAGGUCA
rnacentral:tRNA from 1 species